UCUGCGGGCCGGGCCCCUCUGACGCACAUGCGUGAUGUCGGACCGCAUCG
rfam:Paenirhodobacter enshiensis strain DW2-9 contig5_scaffold2, whole genome shotgun sequence.